CAUGGGAGUCAGACCAUACGAGAUAAGUUGGAUGGUCAAAAGGGAAAGAGCCCAGACCUACAGCUAAGGUCCCAAAGUGCGUGUUAAGUGGAAAAGGAUGUGGGGAUUCUAAGACAACUAGGACGUUGGCUUAGAAGCAGCCAUUCAUUGAAAGAGUGCGUAAUAGCUCACUAGUCGAGAGUCCCUGCGCCGAAAAUGUCCGGGGCUGAAACACGACACCGAAGCUUAGGAAUGUGUAAACAUUGGUAGAGGAGCAUUGCUGGCGGGAUGAAGCCAUACCGAAAGGAGUGGUGGACUGCUAGGAAGAGAGAAUGCCGGAAUGAGUAGCGAGAUGAAGGUGAGAAUCCUUCAGGCCGAAUAUCUAAGGUUUCCAGAGUAAAGCUGAUCUGCUCUGGGUAAGUCGGGACCUAAGGCGAGGUCGAAAGACGUAGUCGAUGGAUAACAGGUUGAAAUUCCUGUACCGCAUAUAAACAGAACUGUGGGGACACAGACAGGGAAUGGAAUCCGGGGAUGGAGAACCCGGAGCAAGCGAGGUAGGAGUAUCAUUGGCAAAACCGUGAUACAGAUCUGAAGACGUGAUGCGUACCGAACAUAAGUAGGGAAGUCCAGGCCCCUGGCUGUCAAGAAAAGCCGCUAUUGUUUUAUAUGUGCCCGUACCGCAAACCGACACAGGUGGAUGAGGAGAGAAUCCUAAGGCCGACGGGAGAAGUAUUGUUAAGGAACUCGGCAAAAUGACUCCGUAACUUCGGGAGAAGGAGUGCCAUGAGAGUGGCCGCAGAGAAAUGGCCCAAGCAACUGUUUAGCAAAAACACAGGUCUAUGCAAAACCGCAAGGUGAAGUAUAUGGGCUGACGCCUGCCCGGUGCUGGAAGGUUAAGGGGAGAGGUUAGCGCAAGCGAAGCUUUGAACUUAAGCCCCAGUAAACGGCGGCCGUAACUAUAACGGUCCUAAGGUAGCGAAAUUCCUUGUCGGGUAAGUUCCGACCCGCACGAAAGGCGUAAUGAUUUGGGCACUGUCUCAACGAUACACCCGGUGAAAUUGAAAUACCAGUGAAGAUGCUGGUUACCUGCGCCAGGACGGAAAGACCCCAUGGAGCUUUACUCCAGUUUGAUACUGGGAUUCGGCAUGGUAUGUACAGGAUAGGUGGGAGACUGAGAAGGUAUGACGUCAGUUGUACCGGAGUCGCUGUUGGGAUACCACCCUUACCAUGUUGGAUUUCUAACCUGUGGCCGUGAACCGGUCAGGGGACAAUGUCAGGCGGGGAGUUUGACUGGGGCGGUCGCCUCCGAAAGGGUAUCGGAGGCGCUCAAAGGUUCCCUCAGAAUGGUUGGAAACCAUUCGAAGAGUGCAAAGGCAGAAGGGAGCUUGACUGUGACACCGACGGGUGGAGCAGGUACGAAAGUAGGACUUAGUGAUCCGGUGGUAUAAAGUGGGAUUGCCAUCGCUCAACGGAUAAAAGCUACCCUGGGGAUAACAGGCUUAUCACUCCCAAGAGUUCACAUCGACGGAGUGGUUUGGCACCUCGAUGUCGGCUCAUCGCAUCCUGGAGCUGUAGCAGGUUCCAAGGGUUGGGCUGUUCGCCCAUUAAAGCGGUACGCGAGCUGGGUUCAGAACGUCGUGAGACAGUUCGGUCCCUAUCCGGCGCAGGCGGAGGAAAUUUGAUAGGAGCUGUCCUUAGUACGAGAGGACCGGGAUGGACGGACCGCUGGUGUAUCUGUUGUACUGCCAAGUGCAU
rnacentral:rRNA from 1 species